GCGGGCCUCAAGGGAUUACAAAUCGAAAAUAAAUGCUAAAUAUGUUAGGUUUUGUGUCUUUCAAAACACAAACAAUAUACAGAAUUAACUGCAGGAUAAAGACAAUAACUGUUUUGUGUCUUUAAAUAUCAGCUGCAUUUGUACUCGGCUCGAAACAGGUGUAAUAGCUCGCUAAAAGCUCGCAUACACCUUGUUUCCUAGCCUCGUACAAAUACAGCUGAUAUUUAAAGACACUAAACAGUUAUUGUCUAU
rnacentral:lncRNA from 1 species